rnacentral:rRNA from 1 species
UGGGGAAUUUUGGACAAUGGGCGAAAGCCUGAUCCAGCAAUGCCGCGUGUGUGAAGAAGGCCUUCGGGUUGUAAAGCACUUUUGUCCGGAAAGAAAUCCUUGGCUCUAAUACAGUCGGGGGAUGACGGUACCGGAAGAAUAAGCACCGGCUAACUACGUGCCAGCAGCCGCGGUAAUACGUAGGAUGCAAGCGUUAAUCGGAAUUACUGGGCGUAAAGCGUGCGCAGGCGGUUUGCUAAGACCGAUGUGAAAUCCCCGGGCUCAACCUGGGAACUGCAUUGGUGACUGGCAGGCUAGAGUAUGGCAGAGGGGGGUAGAAUUCCGACGUGUAGCAGUGAAAUGCGUAGAGAUGUGGAGGAAUACCGAUGGCGAAGGCAGCCCCCUGGGCCAAUACUGACGCUCAUGCACGAAAGCGUGGGGAGCAAACAGGAUUAGAUACCCUGGUAGUCCACGCCCUAAAACGAUGUCAACUAGUUGUUGGGGAUUCAUUUCCUUAGUAACGUAGCUAACGCGUGAAGUUGACCGCCUGGGGAGUACGGUCGCAAGAUUAAAACUCAAAGGAAUUGACGGGGUCAUAGCUGUUUCCU